CGGGAAGCCUCCGCCGAGGAGAUAUCGCUUCAUUUCGGCAAGCUCAUCAGCUGAAAGCAAAAAACUUUGAUGACUUUCCUUUGUGCAUCAUGGAACAGAGUAAUGAAGCCCCUUUCCAGCUUUGGGUGAAGUUGUUUCCAACUGAACAUAAGAAAGAGUGAAAACAUCAACAAAGCCAUCUACGAAUGUUGGCUGUUCACUCUGUGCAUAAGCACCACCUCUUCACCAACUCCUCCUACUCUUCCCUGAAACCUACAAACUCCAGUAUUAUGCC